UGGGGAAUAUUGCACAAUGGGCGCAAGCCUGAUGCAGCAACGCCGCGUGAGGGACGACGGCCUUCGGGUUGUAAACCUCUUUUAGUAGGGAAGAAGCGAAAGUGACGGUACCUGCAGAAAAAGCACCGGCUAACUACGUGCCAGCAGCCGCGGUAAUACGUAGGGUGCGAGCGUUGUCCGGAAUUAUUGGGCGUAAAGAGCUCGUAGGCGGUCUGUCGCGUCUGCUGUGAAAACCCGAGGCUCAACCUCGGGCCUGCAGUGGGUACGGGCAGACUAGAGUGCGGUAGGGGAGAAUGGAAUUCCUGGUGUAGCGGUGGAAUGCGCAGAUAUCAGGAGGAACACCGAUGGCGAAGGCAGUUCUCUGGGCCGUAACUGACGCUGAGGAGCGAAAGCGUGGGGAGCGAACAGGAUUAGAUACCCUGGUAGUCCACGCCGUAAACGUUGGGCGCUAGAUGUGGGGACCAUUCCACGGUUUCCGUGUCGCAGCUAACGCAUUAAGCGCCCCGCCUGGGGAGUACGGCCGCAAGGCUAAAACUUGAAAUGAAUUGACGGGGUCAUAGCUGUUUCCU
rnacentral:rRNA from 1 species